rnacentral:lncRNA from 1 species
AUGCGUCCCGUCUGCUCCCCAAACAGCAUGCACAGGAAUGCUCCCCGGAGGGCUACUUUAAUGGUGCGGAACUGGAAACCACCCAGAGGCUCGUGGUGUGUCUGCAGCGGGAGCACAGGACAGCGUGUGCCAACAAGCAGAAACCUUACGAACGUGACGAGGAGGAAAAGAAACCACACACGCAAAAUAAGUACUGAGUCUAAUCCUAUAUUUCAUGAUCACAAUUUAUCAAAAUCAGGAAAGAUUAAUCUAAAGUUCUCUUCACGCCCUAAAAAUGUGUGGGCCACAUGCAUGCCUGAUCCACGUUACUGUUCAAUCACAGCAGGUAAGCGCCUCUGUGCAGCUCUCUCUGUACCUGUAUUUUCAGGUCAGAGGAUAUUGUGCUCUCAGGAUCUUCAUGGAGAUCUUUUAAUGAUAAAAGCAAUGAUGGUGAUGAUGGUGAUGGUGAUGAUGGUGGUGAUGAUGGUGGUGAUGGUGGUGACGGUAGUGGUGUUGAUGGUGGUGGUGAUGAUGGUGAUGAUGGUGGUGGAGAUGAUGGUGGCAGUGGUGGUGGUGAUGGAGAUGAUGGUGAUGGUGUUGACAGUGGUGAUGGUGAUGAUGGUGGUGAUGGUGGUGGUGGUGGUUAUGGUGGUGGUGAUGAUGAUGGUGAUGAUGAUGAUGGAGAUGAUGGUGAUGAUGGUGGUGAUGGUGAAGGAGAUGAUGGUGAUGGUGUUGAUGGUGAUGGAGGUGAUGACGAUGAUGGUGGUCAUGAUGGUGAUGCUAUUUAUCUCGGAGCAUGUGACAAAAACAAAUGACUUAUUAAUGUUUCAAUUAUUAGAUGAAAGAUAUAAUUAAAAUCCAAAAUAUUGCUAUUGUGUGUCAUGUUCCCGGUCCCAGCUAGAUUUCUGUAUUAUAAUCCAUAUACGUGAUGCACAAUAAACGAUGGCGCUCUUUUGGAAAUCACAGCGCUCUUCCUACUACCAACCAGCUCCAUUUGUGAGCGGCUACCAGAGACUGGAAAGGACUUAGAUGGUGCGGCUCCUCCUCUCACCCCCUUUCUGGAAGCGCACGAGACCCUUGCCCGGGGAUGCCCCUGUCAAACAGACAGACAUAGCCCCACUCCAACAGCCAAGGAACGCCUCUCUCAUUUCCACUUGGUUUCCAGAGAACAGGGGAAGAAAGGAGAGGACAAGACCAGAGUGACAGCCCCCAGAGCCGCACGCCUGCCAGCAUUUCCCGAGACAGAGCAACAGGCUCCAUUGUGCGCGGGCUCAUUCACACGGGGACGUGAGGCAGGUUUUGUCUGCAGUAAACACAGAGAAUAAUCAGAGCCAGACAGUGGCGCCGCGGCUCAGAGACGGGCUGCGGGGGCCAGGACGCGGGUGGGGCGGCCACCACCUCCCUGAGACGCGGCGGCUUUCGUGACGCUGGGUGAACUGCAGUUGGCGUUUGCCUUGGUCUCUGGCAGAGGAACGACCGAGAGCAGGAGCAUGUGGCGAGCAGGAGGAGACUUAUUUCCAGAACUUACUGCUGCUGGGACAACGGGCAGGUUACUCGCCUUUUUUAGGUCUUUGUCUUCACAUACUAAUCAAUAAAAGUGAAAUAAGUAAUCACCUCUCCCCUAAUACUCACAGAGGAACUAAGGGGUGAUUACGAUGUAUCUACAUUGUCAGCAGUUUGGGAAAUGGAAUUCUCAGUUUGCGGCAAAUGAGGAGGAAUACAUGGCUCAGCCUUUUAGAAGAGACAUCAUCCGUCCUCUGAGCACCUCCUCCAGGAAGCCUUGGCCGAUUUGCCUUCCUCCCUCCCUGGGCUUCCCCACCCUCGGGGGGACACUAUGCAGGGAUCACACUUAAUCACGCGCGCUCCUGGCCGCGUCCUCACCGCUCAUGGUCAGCUCAGGAUCCCCCGGCUUUGCUCCUUGUGCUACAGCACAACAGGCGCUUAGUAAGUGUUGGCAAAAUUGAGGAUUUUCUAGAAGAUGUCACAUUUCUAACCCCCCCUCUCUGAGCCCUCUUCUGCAUAAAACAAAUUACACCAGUAACUUCGUGCCCCCAGAAACUCUUGUGUAGAAUUCAGGUGAGACGAGGUCUCCAUAAAGCCUAGAGGAUCUUGUUAAACAUGUCCUUGGUCACCAGCAGGCGGGACUCAGCCGCCGGGACCAGAGGGACCCGUUGCUCUUCCCCAGGCUGGAGGACUUCACUCGCCCUGCUCUGGGCCUCCUCCUGUCCCGCUAGUGCGGGAUUCCAGGACCAACCCUUGUGCACCCGCACCUCUGCGUGCCGUCUCCUCUCCUGGAAGACGGCAGCAGGAACCCGGGCUUCUGGAGGAACAAGACGUUGGGGGAGCACUGAACAGGAGGCCCAGAGCCGUCUGCUGGUCUCACGCUGAGGCCCGAGCACAGUGGUUUCCCCAGGACUUGGUGUCAGUGCACCGCGGACACGGCCCACACCACCCACUAAACACACUCUCCAGGCUGUUUGCCCUCCCGGGAGGUGACAACAUAUGACACAUCUGGACAUUGGGGUGGACUCUCCAGUGCAUUGGCCGCUGACCUGCUCAGAGCCCCAAGGCCAGGAGCCCAAACCAACCCUCCCCGGGUUGGGCGGCAGGGACAAGGGGAUGUGUGUGGGUAGAAGGCUGUUCUGAGUCUCCACACUGCAGGGGUUUGGCCCAAGUCAUGGUGACGGGCUACACUGCUCCGAGACAUCUAUGAGAACUUAGUCACCCAGAUGGCCCUCGCCUCCCAGGGGAUGUGGUGAACUCAGCCUCCGUCAUGGGACCGGGAGGAGGGCCAGGGGUGGGGGCUCCACCCGGCUCCUCCCUUCCAGGUGGGAUACUUGCCCCAGGACCCGGGUCUCCGAUAGGACCCCACAAAGAGGGGCAUCUCCCCAACAAGCCCAUCCCCCGGAGGGCGGAGGGCCGCCUCAUCUGUGGGCCACCCCGGACCUACAGGAAGGAAGCACGUCUCCCCCAAGCCUCGCUCUGACCUCUGGGCCCCCCUCCCUACGCCCUCUGUUGUCCGUGUCUCAUGUCCUCGGCUGCGGGCCACCUGAGCUCAAGAGCCGGACGUGACUUAGUUUAGGUUCCCUCCAUGAGCCUUGCACACUGCAGGUGUUCAGUAGGUACACAGUGGAGGGGACGGACAGAGACCCCACACGUGACCCUUGUAUUAGGAUCGACACAUAAUGACCCUAUGUCAAACGCCUUCGUGGUGAAGGUCCCCACAGGGGCCCGGCCCCCGGGGUUUCACAGCCUCGUGCGGUGAGGGGCGUGCCAUCGUGGUUCGCGUGGAGGCACCGACCCGGCCCGCGUGCCCAGAACGGUCCGGCCAGUCUUCUGGGAGACGCGCUGGACGGGUGACGGUGGACAUCCGUUCCCUGGACAGCAGUAGUGAGGAUUAGGGGGACACGUGCAGCUGCCGUGUCACCCCGUAGGCUCAGCCAUGUAGCCCCCAUGACGCACUGACCCGCCGCACCCACCCCACCACCUGUUCGCAGGCUCUCACCUACUCAGCCCUCCACGGGUCUCCGCAG